rnacentral:rRNA from 1 species
UGCAGAGGGUGCGAGCGUUAAUCGGAAUUACUGGGCGUAAAGCGUGCGUAGACGGUUAUUUAAGUCGGGUGUGAAAGCCCCGGGCUCAACCUGGGAAUUGCAUUCGAGACUGAAUAGCUAGGGUACGGUAGAGGGAAGCGGAAUUUCCGGUGUAGCGGUGAAAUGCGUAGAUAUCAGGAGGAACACCAGUGGCGAAGGCGGCUUCCUGGACACCAACUGACGCUGAGACGCGAAAGCGUGGGGAGCAAACAGG